UACGGGAGGCAGCAGUGGGGAAUAUUGCACAAUGGGCGAAAGCCUGAUGCAGCUAUGCCGCGUGUAUGAAGAAGGCCUUAGGGUUGUAAAGUACUUUCAUCGGGGAGGAAAAACAAAACUAAUAAUUUUAUUUCUUGACGUUACCUGAAAAAGAAGCACCGGCUAACUCCGUGCCAGCAGCCGCGGUAAUACGGAGGGUGCUAGCGUUAAUCAGAAUUACUGGGCGUAAAGAGCACGUAGGUGGUUUUUUUAAGUCAGAUGUGAAAUCCCUGGGCUUAACCUGGAACUGCAUUUUGAAACUGAAAUACUAGAGUAUCGUAGAGGGAGGUAGAAUUCUAGGUGUAGCGGUGAAAUGCGUAGAUAUCUGGAGGAAUACCUGUGGCGAAAGCGGCCUCCUAAACGAAUACUGACACUGAGGUGCGAAAGCGUGGGGAGCAAACAGGGAUUAGAUACC
rnacentral:rRNA from 1 species